AUUGAACGCUGGCGGCGUGCUUAACACAUGCAAGUCGAGCGGCAGCGCGGGGGCAACCCUGGCGGCGAGCGGCGAACGGGUGCGUAAUGCAUGGGAAUCUGCCUAGUAGUGGGGAAUAACCUGGGGAAACUCAGGCUAAUGCCGCAUACGACCUACGGGUGAAAGCGGGGGAUCGCAAGACCUCGCGCUAUUAGAUGAGCCCAUGUCGGAUUAGCUAGUGGGUAGGGUAACGGCCUACCAAGGCGACGAUCCGUAGGUGGUCUGAGAGGACGGCCGGCCACACUGGGACUGGGACACGGCCCAGACUCCUACGGGAGGCAGCAGUGGGGAAUUUUGGACAAUGGGGGCAACCCGGAUCCAGCGACGCCGCGUGUGUGAAGAAGGCCUGCGGGUUGUAAAGCACUUUCGUUGGGAACGAAAUAUGCCGACCUAAUACGUCGGCAGGCUGACGUUACCCAAAUAAGAAGCACCGGCUAACUCUGUGCCAGCCGCCGCCGUAAGAC
rnacentral:rRNA from 1 species